rnacentral:rRNA from 1 species
AUUGAACGCUGGCGGCAGGCCUAACACAUGCAAGUCGAGCGGAGCGGCAGACGGGUGCGUAAGGCCUAGGAAUCUGCCUGGUAGUGGGGGAUGACGUUCACAACCGGAAGCUAAUAUCGCAUACUCUCGCCUGAGCCUAGGUCGGAUUAGCUAGAUGGUGGGGUAAAGGCUUACCAAGGCGACGAUCCGUAACUGGUCUGAGAGGAUGAUCAGUCACACUGGAACGGAGACACGGUCCAGACUCCUACGGGAGGCAGCAGUGGGGAAUAUUGGACAAUGGGCGAAAGCCUGAUCCAGCCAUGCCGCGUGUGUGAAGAAGGUCUUCGGAUUGUAAAGCACUUUAAGUGGGGAGGCGUUACUAACAGAAGAAGCACCGGCUAACUUCGUGCCAGCAGCCGCGGUAAUUC